GACGAACGCUGGCGGCGUGCUUAACACAUGCAAGUCGAACGGUGAAGCGCCUUCCUUUUUGGUGGGUGUGGAUGAGUGGCGAACGGGUGAGUAACACGUGAGUAACCUGCCCCCUUCUUCUGGAUAACCGCAUGAAAGUGUUGCUAAUACGGGAUAUUCUGGGUCUGUCGCAUGAUGGGUCUGGGAAAGAUAUUGUUUCGGUGGGGGAUGGGCUCGCGGCCUAUCAGCUUGUUGGUGGGGUGAUGGCCUACCAAGGCGGUGACGGGUAGCCGGCCUGAGAGGGUGGACGGUCACACUGGGACUGAGACACGGCCCAGACUCCUACGGGAGGCAGCAGUGGGGAAUAUUGCACAAUGGGCGCAAGCCUGAUGCAGCGACGCCGCGGGAGGGAUGGAGGCCUUCGGGUUGUGAACCUCUUUCGCCAGUGAAGCAGGCCUGCCUCGUUUGUGGGUGGGUUGACGGUAGCUGGAUAAGAAGCGCCGGCUAACUACGUG
rnacentral:rRNA from 1 species